rnacentral:misc_RNA from 1 species
AAGUCGUAACAAGGUUUCCGUAGGUGAACCUGCGGAAGGAUCAUUAACAUUUGUAUUUGAUGUGGUGGUGUUUGUUGCUCUAUCUCUGAGUAACGCAUCACCUCAACCCCAUUGUGUGCAUGUUUGUGUGUGUGCGAGUAGUAAAGGGAGGUUUUUAACCCCUCUUUACCUACCUCACCCACUCACUCCACUUCUUUCACUUUCACACCCAAACCCCUUCUUCUCAUCACUACUAGACUGACUUUACACCUCGUUUUACUCAGCUACUGAGCAAAACAUCAAUCAGCAUACAACUCUUAGCAACGGAUAUCUAGGCUCUC